CUCAGCGGUAGAGCAUCGGUUUUACAAGCCGAGGGUCGCAGGUUCGAUCCCUGCACCGCCCA
rnacentral:tRNA from 1 species